UUUCCGUAGGUGAACCUGCGGAAGGAUCAUUAUUGUAUAACCGAGGUGCAAGGGCUGUCGCUGAACCGAAAGGUCGUGCACGCCCGAGUGCCCUCACACACAUCCAUCUCACCCCUAUGUGCACCACCGCGUGGGUCCCCCUUUGGCUUGUUCGGAGGGGGGCUUACGUUUUCACACAAACUUUGUAUGCAGUGUAGAAUGUAUUUUUUGUUUUUGCGAUCACGCAAUCAAUACAACUUUCAACAACGGAUCUCUUGGCUCUC
rnacentral:misc_RNA from 1 species